GACGAACGCUGGCGGCGUGCUUAACACAUGCAAGUCGAACGAAGUGGCGAACGGGUGAGUAACGCGUAAUCAACCUGCCCUUCAGAGGGGGACAACAGUUGGAAACGACUGCUAAUACCGCAUACGGAAGGAGGGGAUUGCGUCUGAUUAGCUAGGUGGAGGGGUAGUGGCCUACCAAGGCGACGACGGGUAGCCGGCCUGGGAGGGCGACCGGCCACAUUGGGACUGGGAUACGGCCCAAACCCCUACGGGAUGCAGCAGUGGGGAAUCUUCCGCAAUGGACGAAAGUCUGACGGGGCAACGCCGCGUGAGUGAUGACGUCCUUCGGGUUGGAAAGCUCUGUUAAUCGGGGCGCGUUACCGGGAUAGAAAGCCACGGCUAACUACGUGCCAGCAGCCGCGGUAAUAC
rnacentral:rRNA from 1 species